rnacentral:snRNA from 1 species
CAAAGGGGUUUCUGUCAUGAUUGGGACACAUUGGGUGCCUCAGUUGCUCUUUGUGCAGAAUUGACAUCAGGGAAUUUCAGAAGCAUAAUUUUUGUUGCUAGGACAGCUGGUGAUCAUUAGUCUGA